UUCAAUAAGAGGCUGGUUGACUCAAAUAGAACUUAUUAGAAAUAGAAAUAAAAAAUAAAAAUGAAGAAACAUUUUUAUUGUUUGUUAUUGUUGGGUUUGAUUCGGACCACAAGUCACAGGUGAUGACCGGCGCUUUUUGGAGUGUCCUUUCCUUUUUGCUUGGUUGUCCGUGCUCGCGAGUGGAGGUUCGGGUGUGCGUGGUGUCCUAGUGUCCCGAUUCCAAGGGGUCUGAACCGUGCCGAUUCCCAAAUAAACGGGCAGGGCACGCAUCGUCAUCCCCAGCGAAAAUAAGGGAAUUCAGAAAUAAAUCCGAAAGCCCCGUAAUUUUGCGGACCCACUGCCACGUGCUACGCUUAGACCCACACUUAAUCGAGAUUUUGGUUGGGCAGUGCUCGGUGGCGAGCUCUGCGCUGUGUCCUGCUUUAGCGGCUGUCGCCGGAUUUUUUCCUCCGUUGAAGGUGACGAUGGUGCCUGAGAGUCGUUCCCCGACCAUGACUGGCCGAUAUGUACACUACCGAGGCCGUCCACCACGGUCCUGGGCUACCCUACUUCAUAGGUUGGUUCCGUUUUCUAUUGAGCUUGUCAAUUAUUUUAGUUUACUUUGAAAAAGUAGAUUACCCACAAUGAUUACAUUUUACCAAAAAGUAAAUUCUUAAAUAAAUUUACCAUUGUGAUGUAUUAUCGAUGGAUUUUGUUGUGUUAACUAUUUUUAGUUCGCUUUGUGAAGGUAAAUGAUGUAAUAAUUACAAUGAUUACAUUUUACCAAAAUGUUAGUUCCUAAAUAAAUUUACCAUUGUGAUGUAUUAUCGAUGGAUUUCGUUGGGUUAACUAUUUUUAGUUCGCUUUGUGAAUGUAAAUGAUGUAAUAAUUACGAUGAUUACAUUUUACCAAAAUGUUACCUUCUAAAUAGAUUUACCAUUGUAAUGAAUUACCGUUGGAUUUUGCUGUGUUCACAUUUGCUCCAUCCUUGAGAGCGAUGGAUUGUUUUUUGUGUGUGUCGUAGUAAUUUAACUAAGCGAACACAAGUAAAUUAAUUUCUUUGUAUUAAUAUGCCUAUUACUACCUGUUUAAGCUGUAGGGUAUUAAUGCACCGGUGGUGCACUUAC